rnacentral:rRNA from 1 species
AUACGUAGGGGGCGAGCGUUGUCCGGAAUGAUUGGGCGUAAAGGGCGCGUAGGCGGCCCGGUAAGUCUGGAGUGAAAGUCCUGUUUUUAAGAUGGGAAUUGCUUUGGAUACUGUCGGGCUUGAGUGCAGGAGAGGUAAGUGGAAUUCCCAGUGUAGCGGUGAAAUGCGUAGAGAUUGGGAGGAACACCAGUGGCGAAGGCGACUCACUGGACUGUAACUGACGCUGAGGCGCGAAAGUGUGGGGAGCAAACAGGAUUAGAUACCCUGGUAGUCCACACUGUAAACGAUGAAUGCUAGGUGUAGGGGGUAUCGACCCCUUCUGUGCCGCAGUCAACACAAUAAGCAUUCCGCCUGGGGAGUACGGCCGCAAGGUUGAAACUCAAAGGAAUUGACGGGG